UGAGAGCAAAGAUCCGAAAGGUUGUUAUCGAAUUUAGAUAAAUUUUCGGGGAGGGAAUGUCGGUUCAAGAAACUAGACGGCAA
rfam:Epulopiscium sp. Nuni2H_MBin001 Nuni2HMBin001_65, whole genome shotgun sequence.